AAGUCGUAACAAGGUUUCCGUAGGUGAACCUGCGGAAGGAUCAUUAUCGAGUUCAUUGACCGGGUUGUAGCUGGCCUUUCGAGGCAUGUGCACGCCCUGUUCAUCCACUCUCAACACCUGUGCACUCACUGUGGGUUUCAGAUGGGCGAAAGCCUUUCUGUGCCUGCGUUUAUCACAUCAACUCUAUUGUAUCAGAAUGUGUAUAAUGCGAUGUAACGCAUCUAUGUACAACUUUCAGCAACGGAUCUCUUGGCUCUC
rnacentral:misc_RNA from 1 species